rnacentral:rRNA from 1 species
AACGAACGCUGGCGGCAGGCCUAACACAUGCAAGUCGAACGCAUCGCAAGAUGAGUGGCAGACGGGUGAGUAACGCGUGGGAACAUACCCUUUUCUACGGAAUAGCUCUGGGAAACUGGAAUUAAUACCGUAUACGCCCUACGGGGGAAAGAUUUAUCGGGGAAGGAUUGGCCCGCGUUGGAUUAGCUAGUUGGUGGGGUAAAGGCCUACCAAGGCGACGAUCCAUAGCUGGUCUGAGAGGAUGGUCAGCCACAUUGGGACUGAGACACGGCCCAAACUCCUACGGGAGGCAGCAGUGGGGAAUAUUGGACAAUGGGCGCAAGCCUGAUCCAGCCAUGCCGCGUGAGUGAUGAAGGCCUUAGGGUUGUAAAGCUCUUUCACCGAUGAAGAUAAUGACGGUAGUCGGAGAAGAAGCCCCGGCUAACUUCGUGCCAGCAGCCGCCGUAAAAC